UCGAAACCUGCAUAGCAGAACAACCAGUGAACAUGUUUUUUUCAUAUACGGGGGAGGCGUGUUGGCUUGCCAGGGCCCUUCCCUAAAUGUCACGGGGCUUUCCCUUGUGGUUGCCACGUGACACAUUAACCAAACCCCGGCGCGUUAUGCGUCAAGGAAUAUAAUCAUGAGUUUGUCCAUCCAUAUUAUCGGGUUUCCGGGUGUAUGGGUGUGGCACCAAUGUAAGGUCAUAAAAUGA
rnacentral:misc_RNA from 1 species